CGACCUGGGGAGGACGAGGUGGAGGCAGGCUGGAAGUCCGAGUCUUAAAGGAGAAGAAAGAAGGAGACGAGGAGAAGAAAUGAGUUACAGUGACCGAUAGAAACACCAGAGGAUACAGUUCUGCAGGAAUCAUAAUGGAUUAUGUAUAACAGGAUAGACGUGAAUAAAUAUGAUUAGAAUA